GUGGGGAAUCUUAGACAAUGGGCGCAAGCCUGAUCUAGCCAUGCCGCGUGAGCGAUGAAGGCCUUAGGGUUGUAAAGCUCUUUCAGCUGGGAAGAUAAUGACGGUACCAGCAGAAGAAGCCCCGGCUAACUCCGUGCCAGCAGCCGCGGUAAUACGGAGGGGGCUAGCGUUGUUCGGAAUUACUGGGCGUAAAGCGCACGUAGGUGGAUCAGAAAGUCAGAGGUGAAAUCCCAGGGCUCAACCUUGGAACUGCCUUUGAAACUCCUGAUCUUGAGGUCGAGAGAGGUGAGUGGAAUGCCGAGUGUAGAGGUGAAAUUCGUAGAUAUUCGGAGGAACACCAGUGGCGAAGGCGGCUCACUGGCUCGAUACUGACGCUGAGGUGCGAAAGCGUGGGGAGCAAACAGGAUUAGAUACCCCGGUAGUCC
rnacentral:rRNA from 1 species